UACGAAGGGGGCUAGCGUUGCUCGGAAUCACUGGGCGUAAAGCGCACGUAGGCGGCUUGUUAAGUCAGGGGUGAAAUCCUGGAGCUCAACUCCAGAACUGCCUUUGAUACUGAAGAUCUUGAGUUCGGGAGAGGUGAGUGGAACUGCGAGUGUAGAGGUGAAAUUCGUAGAUAUUCGCAAGAACACCAGUGGCGAAGGCGACUCACUGGACACGUAUUGACGCUGAGGUGCGAAAGCGUGGGGAGCAAACAGG
rnacentral:rRNA from 1 species